rnacentral:lncRNA from 1 species
GGAGCGUUAAUACUAUCUGCAUAAAUCUGACAUUUCUGAGCAUAAUUUAAACAAUCUCGUUCCAACAUUAACAAGAAAUAUCUAGCCCCUAUGAUUUGCCUUGCCAUCAUAUAUCCGUUACUAUGUGCUCAAUAUACUCCAUCAUGGAUUUCGUUCAUUAUCUUAUUUUCCUCUUCUGUGUCAACACAUCUAAACAAAGUUUGG